CAUAAAAAGUGGACUGUGGUCAGCUGAGUCAUGCCCCCCAAGGGUGUCCACACCCUGAGCCCUGGAACCCGUGAUCAUGUGACCUCGUAGGGCAAGGGGACUUUACAUAUGGGAUUAAGUUAAGGAUUUUGAGGUGGGAACACUGUCCUGGAUUUCACAAGUGAAUCCGAUAUAAUUACAAGGGUCCCUGUAAAAAGGGAGGUGGGAGGGUUGGAGAGAGAGGGAAAGACUUGAAGAUGUCAUGCAGCUGCCUUUAAAGAUGGAGAAAGGGGCGAUGAGCCAAAGAAUGCAGGCGACUCCAGAAGCUGGCAAAGCAACAAUACAAAACCGAGGAACCGAGGAGCUAAGUGAAGGUGCCAGCUGAUUCCAACAGGCGUUUGAGAGGCAUAUGGUGAGACUGACCGGGACAGGGAGACUCAGCUGAGGCAGUUUGAAGUUAAUAAAGCUGGAAGGGCUGACCCCAGCGCAUUUUCUAAGGGUGCGGCAUCAACCUAGGAAGACUCAGUAGCAACCAGAGCCCAGCGCUGAAGAGUCACAACUGGGGCAGAAGUUCAAGAACCAGGAGUGAAGCAGAGACUGGAUGAUAAGGACUUACCCACCAGAGAGCCUUAAAGGGAGGGAACAGUGUGAGGGAACGCCAGAGGGAAAGCUACCCGCAGCCUAAGGAUCUCCACCUGGGGAUGGUUCCUGGUGUCAGAACAAAGAAGAGACUUCUUAAAA